AAAAAAAAAAGAAAAAAGAAAAAGGGAGUAAAAAAAAAUAAAAAAAAAAUUAAAAUGUUCUGAAUUUUUCUCUUUUUUUUUCUUUCUGUUUU
rnacentral:ribozyme from 12 species